UACGGGGGGGGCAAGCGUUGUUCGGAAUUACUGGGCGUAAAGGGCUCGUAGGCGGCCAACUAAGUCAGACGUGAAAUCCCUCGGCUUAACCGGGGAACUGCGUCUGAUACUGGAUGGCUUGAGUUUGGGAGAGGGAUGCGGAAUUCCAGGUGUAGCGGUGAAAUGCGUAGAUAUCUGGAGGAACACCGGUGGCGAAGGCGGCAUUCUGGACCGAAACUGACGCUGAGGCGCGAAAGCCAGGGGAGCAAACGGG
rnacentral:rRNA from 1 species